rnacentral:tRNA from 1 species
UCUGGUAUCAACCCAGAGAAGAGCA